rnacentral:lncRNA from 1 species
GCCGCUGCCGCGCGGGUGGGUGCUGACGGCAGGGAGGGGCGUGUGGGAGGCCUGGGCUGCGAACUCGAGUCGACCGCCCACUCCUCGCAGUCCCGGACGGAGGAGGUGUGGGAAGGCACGCGCAGAGGAGUCACGAAGGAGCUUCUGGCGGGGGGUGGUGACGGGUGGCGGUAUCCUUCCUCCCUGGUACAGGGGUCCCAGGGAGAGUCACCUCUAGGGGCUUCCAGGGCGUGUGGGCCCGGCCCCCCCCCCAGGGCGUGUGGGGGUGGACGGGGGUCCACGCGGGCCCAGGGGGUGAAGAGAAACGCGCUCGUUAGAGAAUUCCGCGGCCUACACGCCGCCCCCUAACUAAAAUAGAGAGAUGGUAGAUUUCCCCUGGGCGGACAGGUGUCAGCAUGUGCCUUUCAGUGUCAACCCGCGUGUGGCUGAUUGGUGAGAUACAAGUCUUGUGAAAUUCAAACGUGAAACUUGUGAAAUCCAAAGUGUUUUAUUAAUGGCCACCAGCGAGCCAUGAUCAAGGUGGAGCCUUCCAGCGAAACCAACGAUUGGCUCGUUGGCAGGUACACCCAAGGGAGGCUUCAUACCUUGAGGUGACUUAGAUGGUGUUCUGGAGAUACGCAGGCCCACUUGGGGACCUGGGCCCUUCCGUUGGGACUGUAAAUAAAAAUAAAAGGUGGGCCAGAGGUCGCCUGGAAGCGCUUUGAGGGCAGGGGCCGAGCACGCAGGCCAUCUCCGCCACGCCUGGCCCGCCCGGCGCCCGGCUUAACAAAGACUUGUUGCACCGAGCGAGAAGGAAGCCAAAGGGGAAGAUGGCGGGGAGGGCGGUGGGGGAGGAAAGGGCGCAGGCGGAGCGGCGCGCCCUGCAGGCCGGCCCGGGGCCUUCUCGGGCGCACCUCCCGCGCCCGGUCCCCGAGGCGGCCUUCCACACCUCCUGUGAUGCAGGGAAUUGAAAUGCGCUCCAGUGACACACGGCUGUGACUCAUGUUUUUCUCUGCUCCCCUUCUUCCUCCCCGGUCAGCCGAGGCCCUGGCCCAGCCCCCUCCUCAGGGGGCGAGCCGGCGGUGGAGGGGACGCAGGAAAGCCCUGGGCCCGGCGCGGAGGCGGGGUGGGGAGCGGCGGGCUGGGCCUUGCAGUUGCAGGAAUGUGGCAGGAAUGUUUCCGGUGGGG